rnacentral:rRNA from 1 species
GAUGAACGCUAGCUACAGGCUUAACACAUGCAAGUCGAGGGGAAACGGCAUUUAGUGCUUGCACUGAAUGGACGUCGACCGGCGCACGGGUGAGUAACGCGUAUCCAACCUACCCAUUACUGUGGGAUAACCUGCCGAAAGGCAGACUAAUACCGCAUAGUCUUCGAUGACGGCAUCAGAUUUGAAGUAAAGAUUUAUCGGUAAUGGAUGGGGAUGCGUCUGAUUAGCUUGUUGGCGGGGUAACGGCCCACCAAGGCAACGAUCAGUAGGGGUUCUGAGAGGAAGGUCCCCCACAUUGGAACUGAGACACGGUCCAAACUCCUACGGGAGGCAGCAGUGAGGAAUAUUGGUCAAUGGACGAGAGUCUGAACCAGCCAAGUAGCGUGCAGGAUGACGGCCCUAUGGGUUGUAAACUGCUUUUGUAUGGGGAUAAAGUCAAUCACGUGUGAUUGUUUGCAGGUACCAUACGAAUAAGGACCGGCUAAUUCCGUGCCAGCAGCCGCGGUAAUACGGAAGGUCCGGGCGUUAUCCGGAUUUAUUGGGUUUAAAGGGAGCGUAGGCCGGAGAUUAAGUGUGUUGUGAAAUGUAGACGCUCAACGUCUGACUUGCAGCGCAUACUGGUUUCCUUGAGUAUGCACAACGUUGGCGGAAUUCGUCGUGUAGCGGUGAAAUGCUUAGAUAUGACGAAGAACUCCGAUUGCGAAGGCAGCUGACGGGAGCGCAACUGACGCUUAAGCUCGAAGGUGCGGGUAUCGAACAGG